rnacentral:rRNA from 1 species
UGUCUAUACAUGCAGUCGAACGAACUUCCGUUAAUUGAUCAGGACGUGCUUGCACUGAAUGAGAUUUUAACACGAAGUGAGUGGCGGACGGGUGAGUAACACGUGGGUAACCUGCCCAGAAGCAGGGGAUAACACCUGGAAACAGAUGCUAAUACCGUAUAACAGAGAAAACCGCCUGGUUUUCUUUUAAAAGAUGGCUCUGCUAUCACUUCUGGAUGGACCCGCGGCGCAUUAGCUAGUUGGUGAGGUAACGGCUCACCAAGGCGAUGAUGCGUAGCCGACCUGAGAGGGUAAUCGGCCACAUUGGGACUGAGACACGGCCCAGACUCCUACGGGAGGCAGCAGUAGGGAAUCUUCCACAAUGGACGCAAGUCUGAUGGAGCAACGCCGCGUGAGUGAAGAAGGGUUUCGGCUCGUAAAGCUCUGUUGUUAAAGAAGAACGUGGGUGAGAGUAACUGUUCACCCAGUGACGGUAUUUAACCAGAAAGCCACGGCUAACUACGUGCCAGCAGCCGCGGUAAUACGUAGGUGGCAAGCGUUAUCCGGAUUUAUUGGGCGUAAAGCGAGCGCAGGCGGUCUUUUAAGUCUAAUGUGAAAGCCUUCGGCUCAACCGAAGAAGUGCAUUGGAAACUGGGAGACUUGAGUGCAGAAGAGGACAGUGGAACUCCAUGUGUAGCGGUGAAAUGCGUAGAUAUAUGGAAGAACACCAGUGGCGAAGGCGGCUGUCUGGUCUGUAACUGACGCUGAGGCUCGAAAGCAUGGGUAGCGAACAGGAUUAGAUACCCUGGUAGUCCAUGCCGUAAACGAUGAUUACUAAGUGUUGGAGGGUUUCCGCCCUUCAGUGCUGCAGCUAACGCAUUAAGUAAUCCGCCUGGGGAGUACGACCGCAAGGUUGAAACUCAAAAGAAUUGACGGGGCC